CUUGGCACUGCUAGCCCUGGGGAGACACAGAUGGAUGAAUAGAAUGAGUGAGACCUAAGCCCUUUGUGAAAAAGCUCCAAUUUGGGAAGAUCCGUAGCCCAAGCCAAUGAUGUUCCAUGAAGAGUAGCUGGGGCUUUGGGAGCUAAGAAGAGGCACCUGGCCCUGACAGGGUGAUACCUGCUCUGAGGCCUGAAAGAUGAAAAUGAGUUAACCAGCUCUCAUGAAGAAAUGUGGAAUCUUAUAACCUCCCAACCUCCCAAGACCCACUGAAUCCGCAUUUUCACCAGAUCCCCAGGUGAUUUGUAUGCACAGGACUACAGGGUCAUGUUAAAUAGCUACGAGCUCAGAGGUGGUUAAAAGAGGAUUCAAUUUAUGUAGGCAUGGAAGAAACGAAAUACACCUGAAAAUGUGUACCAGUGAAGUGACCACAGAGGAACUCUCAUCUUCCGCUGAGGCCCAGCUCACUUUGUGGAAGACCUUCAAGAUGCCCAGGCACAAGAUGAAGAAGGCAAGGCUGGAGAGGUGAAGAAGUUUGUUGGAGUGGUGACAAAGCUAGUGGGUAGGAGAGCCAGCAUUUGAACACAGGCAGCCCAGCCCUUAGUACUUGUCCUACCUAAACCACUAUGUGCCCCCUCCCCAGCUAGUGUAGUUGCAUAUUUUUGGAAAAUCCUUGAUAUGGUUUGGCUGUGUCCCCACCCAAAUCCCAUCUUGAACUGUAGCUCCCAUAAUUCCCAUGUGUUGUGGGAGGGACCAGGUGGGAGAUAAUCGAAUCAUGGUGGUACCUUCCCCCAUACGGUUCUCAUGGUAGUGAAUAACUCUCAUGAGAUCUGAUGAUUUUAUAAGGGGAAAUCUCUUUUGCUUGGCUCACAUUCUCUCUUGUCUGCCACCGUGUAAGACAUGCAUUUCGCCUUCCACCAUGAUUGUGAGGCCUCCCCAGCCACGUGGAA